rnacentral:rRNA from 1 species
GACGAACGCUGGCGGCGUGCCUAAUACAUGCAAGUCGAGCGCUGAAGGUUGGUCCUUGUACCAACUGGAUGAGCAGCGAACGGGUGAGUAACGCGUGGGGAAUCUGCCUUUGAGCGGGGGACAACAUUUGGAAACGAAUGCUAAUACCGCAUAAAAACUUUAAACACAAGGUUUAAGAUUGAAAGAUGCAAUUGCAUAACCCAAAGAUGAUCCCGCGUUGUAUUAGCUAGUUGGUGAGGUAAAGGCCCACCAAGGCGAUGAUACAGAGCCGACCUGAGAGGGGGAACGGCCCAAAUUGGACUUGGAAACGGGCCAAGCCCCUACGGGGAGGCACAGGAGGGGAAUUUUGGCAAAUGGGCGAAAUCUGGACGAAGAACGGCGGGGUGGGUGAGAAAGUUCUCGGAUUGGAAAACCCUGUUGGUAGGGAAGAAAGUUGGUGGGAGUGGAAAGCUCAUCAAGUGACGGUAACUACCCAGAAAGGGACGGCUAACUACGUG